rnacentral:rRNA from 1 species
AGUGAACGCUGGCGGUAGGCCUAACACAUGCAAGUCGAACGGCAGCACAGUAAGAGCUUGCUCUUACGGGUGGCGAGUGGCGGACGGGUGAGGAAUACAUCGGAAUCUACUUUUUCGUGGGGGAUAACGUAGGGAAACUUACGCUAAUACCGCAUACGACCUACGGGUGAAAGUAGGGGAUCUUCGGACCUUGCGCGAUUGAAUGAGCCGAUGUCGGAUUAGCUAGUUGGCGGGGUAAAGGCCCACCAAGGCGACGAUCCGUAGCUGGUCUGAGAGGAUGAUCAGCCACACUGGAACUGAGACACGGUCCAGACUCCUACGGGAGGCAGCAGUGGGGAAUAUUGGACAAUGGGCGCAAGCCUGCUCCAGCCAUACCGCGUGGGUGAAGAAGGCCUUCGGGUUGUAAAGCCCUUUUGUUGGGAAAGAAAAGCAGCAGGUUAAUACCCCGCUGUUCUGACGGUACCCAAAGAAUAAGCACCGGCUAACUUCGUG